rnacentral:rRNA from 1 species
UGGGGAAUUUUGGACAAUGGGGGAAACCCUGAUCCAGCCAUCCCGCGUGUGCGAUGAAGGCCUUCGGGUUGUAAAGCACUUUUGGCAGGAAAGAAACGUCAUGGGCUAAUACCCCGUGAAACUGACGGUACCUGCAGAAUAAGCACCGGC